AUUGAACGCUGGCGGCAUGCUUUACACAUGCAAGUCGAACGGUAACAGGUUAAGCUGACGAGUGGCGAACGGGUGAGUAAUGCAUCGGAACGUGCCCGAUCGUGGGGGAUAACGCAGCAAAAGCUGCGCUAAUACCGCAUACGAUCUGAGGAUGAAAGCGGGGGACCGUAAGGCCUCGCGCGAUCGGAGCGGCCGAUGUCAGAUUAGGUAGUUGGUGGGGCAAAGGCUCACCAAGCCAACGAUCUGUAGCUGGUCUGAGAGGACGACCAGCCACACUGGAACUGAGACACGGCCAAGACUCCUACGGGAGGAAGAAGUGGGGAAUUGUGGACAAUGGGCGAAAGACUGAGCCAGCAAUGCCGCGUGCAGGAAGAAGGCCUUCGGGUUGUAAACUGCUUUUGUACGGAGCGAAAAGGCUCUCUCUAAUACAGGGGGCUCAUGACGGUACCGUAAGAAUAAGCACCGGCUAACUACGUGCCAGCCGCCGCCGUAA
rnacentral:rRNA from 1 species